UACGUAGGGUGCGAGCGUUAAUCGGAAUUACUGGGCGUAAAGCGUGCGCAGGCGGUUUUGUAAGCCAGAUGUGAAAUCCCCGGGCUUAACCUGGGAAUGGCAUUUGGGACUGCAAGGCUGGAGUGUGGCAGAGGAGACUGGAAUUCCUGGUGUAGCAGUGAAAUGCGUAGAUAUCAGGAGGAAUACCGAUGGCGAAGGCAGGUCUCUGGGCCGGAACUGACGCUGAGGAGCGAAAGCGUGGGGAGCGAACAGG
rnacentral:rRNA from 1 species